ACAAAAACUGUUAUAUAAUGAUAGACAAAGGAAGACAACUCUUAGAAGGAGUGAUAAAUAUUUUUUCUGUCUCAUUUGUGAAAACAAAUAGUAAUUUUUUACAUUACUGACUAUGAUAAAAAUGGACAAAAGGAUAAAAUGUAAAACCAUUCUGAACAGAUCUGAGGAGUAUUGAUUAUCUACACAAAAUACAUUUCCUUAGCAAAUUAUAGCCUUUUUUUUUCUUUUUUUGCUUUACUACCAGCUUCGAAGCUUUUAAGAUUUUUGUUGCUUUGUCAGCUGUUGUCAAAGCUAAUAAAGACAAAAAUUGGGCUACGAAGAAAAACAACAGGAAAAGCUGUAUGAUGCUAGACAUCUGAAGUGUACAUCUAGCCUCUGUGCUAUCAGUUGCAGAAGGGUUUUGUUCCAUUUCCAACCACAAGUUGUGAGACUCGCAGAAUGUUAACAAAUACAUGUAGGUGAGACUGUGUCAGUUGUGUUAGAGUUGUACAGGUAUAAAUGAGAACAGAGAUUGUCCACAUAUUUUCUGCAUUGGUGUUUUCCACACUCGGAAAGACAGCUACUUUUUACUAAAGUGAUGCAGUUUGAAAAGAACUGCAUUUCUUAUACCCAGGACUUGGCCUCUUGCCCCUGUUGCUGACAAUGUUAGGAAAGCAAAAUUCAGAAGCAUCCUCUCCCCCAGAUUUCCAGAUACAAGUGCAUAAGGCACAGAAGGAAUAUGCUGCUACUGCUCUGAAAAGCUGUGGUUGUUGUUGAGCUCUUCUUCAUAUUGCUGGGCCAGUCCUUACUCAGUGCUGCCUUCCAUCAAACAGGACCGUGGACUUUCCAGGGAAGAAUAUGCAUUGCUGAACAGUAAGCAUGGCAGCAAAAAGGUGGGAUUUUCCCAGUGGAUUACGUGGCAGACAGACAGCUGUACCAGAGUUUUGCUGCUCAGUACAGGAUUGGGAAACAUCCCUUCCCAAAUGUGAGCACCACUGGAAACGUGGAAAGGGUUUCGAGAAAUAUGAGUGCAGACAACCUUAAGAAUUAUGAGGAUUACUGAGACGAAACCAUGCAAAGCAUCUCUAGGAAACUGCUUUAUAUUCAAAAAUCUGUAACUCAUGCUUAAUGUUAAGUUCUGUGACUAUGAAAUUCCUUUACUAAGCUUCUAUUUACAGGUUGGGUUUGUUCGUUUGUUUGUUUGCUUCCUAUAGAAAAUCCAAUUCCAUUAAAAUGAAAUUAUUCGCAGGAAAAAAAA